rnacentral:lncRNA from 1 species
CACAGAGAAAGAGAGAGAGAGAGAAACAAGUGAAACGAAACCGCUGCGCUGCCAUCGUUACAAUCAAACAACAACCAAUCGAUUCUUUCUUCUUCUUCGUUUAUAACUAGUACAGUAGUACUUUCUUUCUCACCAAGUCACCAUUACUCUCUUUCACUCUUCUUCUUCUUCUUCUUCUUCUUCAUUUCUUCUCUCGAAGUUUCUAGAAGGUAUGUUCUACAUAUUAAUCAUUUUUUCACACGUGUUAACUUUCUAUCCAAGUAAACAGACUUAACAGACGUGUGGUUCCAAAACAAGAAUUCUUUCUUUCAUUAAUGAUUAAUCAAUCUCUUUAGUUUAAUUCUUUCUUUGAUUUCAUGUUUUAGUUGCUACGUUUCUUCAAAUAUACCUUCUAUUCCAACUUGUCUUUUCGAAAGAUUUCAAACUGCAAUUCUUGUUUUUAAGUAAGAAUUCAUCCAUGUUUCUUGUUGUUGAUUCUUAUAAGCUUUCUUUCUUAUUGAAAUCCUAGGGUUUUUGUUCACUUUCUGUGUUAGUACUGUUUGCAAGAAUUGAACAAGGAAAGAUGGAUUUGGAGAAUUUAAUUGGAAGUAUUACUAAAAAUGAUCAAGAACUCUGGUUGAUGUGUGUAAUGGUUGGAAUUCUUAUGUGCAACAUUGUAAGUAUUUCAUUCUAGUUCAAAAUCUUUAUUACAGUUUGGUUGCUGAAUUUUAUGUGUAUAUUGUAUUGAGCAUUUCAAACUUUGUAUGCUUGGAAAAUGAUUAGUUCGCAAUAAUACUAGCUAAUGGCAUGGAAAUUGUAGAUAUUCUGUUGUAUUUUCUUAUUGAAUUCACUCUACUUG